GCAGAAUUUCGCAGCAGUUUUUCUGCAUUGAGGAAUGACCAAUCAGCAAGAGGGAUUCAUUUGAAAGAGCCAAUAAGAAUAACUGAAGUGCAAGUGGAGCAGCCUUUCUUGGAAUUAUGGAGACUUUAUAUCGUGGAGCUGCCGGUUUGACAACUGAUACAUAAUUCAUUUCUGAUACUGGGGAAUUAACCUUGCAGUGGUGGUCAAGUGUGAAGACAAAGCUGACAUGUUUGGUGCUUAAGUACGAGAAAAGAAACUGUUUCCAGUGGAUGGAGCUUCAAUGGCCACGGAGGAGGAAGAAUUAAGCCAUCCACGAAAACAGAAGAGUACCCCAAAGAAUGAGUGACAGUAAGAACAGUAAAGCCCCUCCUACUCCCUCCUCCCACACACAUGCAGCAGCAAAGCUCCCAUGCAAGACCAUGAUCUGCAGUACAGCCGAAACCAACCGUUCAACCGACAGUUCAACAUACCACAGGCUCGGGGACAGAGAGGUGUCGCCCUUUCACAGUGAGAGGAGAAACAUAAGCAAAACAACUCAUUGAUUUAUGGUCAUAAAGUCGCUUUUUUUUUUGCACUCUCCAUCUUGAGAAUGGGCAACAAAUUCUCCCCACCAAUGGGAGAAAGAGAGAGAGCAUGCGAUCUGAAUAUUGGGCCCCCGGCAGCUGAUCCGCUGUUCCUGACGUUCCGGUUUCUCCCGUGACACUUCAGUCUGUGGCACCAGCAUGGAAUCAACUGGUCCCCAGGGCCGCAAAGCCUGAGAACCCCGAAGGUGCACUCAUCUUCCGCGUCCUUGGGAUUUCGAAAACCGGGCAGUCGAUGACCUCUGGGUGCGGGUCCCAGCACCGCAAAGAACCAAAGUUUGAGAGCAACUCGAGGUCAGGGUCUUCACCAGAAACCCGUCCACCUUGUAAGGGGAAAAUAGAGAUAUUAGAAGUAGAAAUUAAGCCGUUUCUGCAGAUGAGCUCGAAGGAGUCACUGUUGAGCACCGCCGUAGCUCUGACCUCGCACUGUGAGCUGUCCGUGACGUGAACAAUCUGCAAGUUGGAAACGUGAAGUGAGUUCCCUCACUGAGAAAAUGCCUGUGGCUGGCAAAUCCAUCCGCUGGUCUCCCAAACGUUCACUCGUAUGUGUUGGAAUUGGUUUAUUAUUGUCACAGGUAUCGAGGUACAGUGAAGGAGCUUGCCAUGCAUACUGUUCAUACAGAUCAGAUCAUUACUCAGUGUAUUGAAAUAAAACAAGGUAAAACAAUAGCAAUGCAGAAUAAAGUGUAACAGCUACAGAGAAAAUGCGGUGUAGGUAAACAAAAGUGCAAAGUCUUAACGAGGUGUAUUUUGAGGUCAGGAUAUUUUAUUGUCCAAGAGGUCCAUUCACACGUUAACAGCCGAAUGGAAGCUGCACAUGAAAUGCUGGAGGAACUCAGCAGGUCUGGCAGCAUCUGUGGAAAUGAAUAAACAGUUGACGUUUAGGGCCAAGACUCCUCUUCAGGAAGAGGGAAGGUGCCAGGAUACAAAGGUGGAUGGGAGGGCAAGGAGAAUAGCUGGAAGGUGAUAGGUGAAGCCAGGUAAGUUGGAAAGAUCAAGGGCUGGAGAGGAAAGAAUCUGAUUGGGGAGUAGAGUGGACCAUGGGAGGAAGGGAAGGAAAAGGAGCACCGGGGGUGAAAGGCAGCCAGAGUCAUGGUGGUAUGGUAUGUGCUUUCAGGUUUUUGUAUCUUCUGCCCAUUGGGAGAUGGGAGAAGAGAGAAUGUGGCAAUGAUAAUAAUCUUGCAUUUUCAGUCAGUAAGAGCCUUGUUUAGUAUAAAACUACUUGCAAUAUAAUUUUUCAAGUGAAACGUAUUCUAUAACUCCAGCGCAAUAUCUUACAAGGUCACCAGUUUAGGUUAUUUAUUUGCUCUGUCACUUCAUGAACAAAAAUUUGAGAUGUUCUCAAGGGUGUGAUCAGUAACGUAAUCCACACCUCUUCAUAUAUAAAACUUCAUAAAUCUGCUUCAUUAUUUGUACCUGACUGGCACAUUCCCAGACAGAAAACUCUAACCAACUUUCCUAACCUGGUAAGCUCAACUCCACAAUUCCGUGACUGACUCAGUUGAGAUUUGUUGUCUUUGAGACCUACACCUCUGAAUCAGACUCCAGUAGUACUUCAAGGAUCAACAUUAUUCACCAUAGACACUUACAUGUAGUAGGAAUUUGCUGUAGUGUGUUGGUCCAACAUGCAACAAAAACAAGAAAAUUCAACAAUGACUAAAUUAUAUAACAAUAAAGUUAGUGGUUAAAGAAUGGAUAUGGAAUAAACUGUGCAUAAACAGAUAAAACCAGCAUGUAUUUACAAUGUAAACAGCAUUAUUAGAGGUCUGUGAGAGUGUUUACAGUGCAGUGACUGAGGUAGCAGAUGGAGGGGGUGGAGGAACAACUAAAUUGGUUGAUCAGAUUAAUAACCUGGGGGAAGAAACUUAUAAGAUAGCAUGAAGAUUUUGAUUGAAUAGCCCUACAGCACCUUGCAGUAAAGAGAUUUUAGGAAAGACAUUUUGUUUGAGUGGCUAGUGUCCACAAUGAUUUUUCAUGCCCACUUCUUUGUCCUGGACACAUGGUAGCCUGCAGCCUAGGACCUGUCUGCUGACUUUAGAGGUCACUGUCGUUUCCAUAUACGAAUGGGUAUAGCUGCAAGGCAGUGGAGGUUUGGGAUCCGAGUUUUCCUUCUAGAUGAGCAGCCAACCGUGGCUGACAAGCCCAUCUGCCUGAAGUUUUAAGGUGCCAGUAACCCGCCUUUUUCCCAUUCUCCUGUCAGUAGGGCUGGAAGGUGGCGGAAGGAGGGAAUUCUUGCAUGUUGGAGGCAGGACCCCUCAUCGCAUUGAGUCACCGGACUGUGUCCACCCACAAAGCUGUCAGCUGAGUGCUGAGAAGUGGGGCUGAUUUCUAUCUCCUAGUGUUGACUGACAUGGACACAAUGGGCCAAAUGGCCUCUCUUUGUGCUGUAAUGAUCCUUUGACUUAACACAAUCUGAUGCUUAUGUGAAAGAUUUAUUUUAGGCACACUGGUCUGGUGUCAUUAGAGCUCAGAUUAUUUCACUGCCUCAGAUCAUCUCUCAGUCAGUUACAUUAACUAAUUUUCUUUGAAUUGUCGAUGACGCCAAGGCAGAAAGCCAUGGGAUGGUGAGAUGGAUGUCAUCUUGCAUGGAGCAUCAUACUGCAUUAGGUUUAUAGCUUUAGAAAUCAAAGGACACUAGUUGUGUAAAUAGUUAAGAAAUUAAUUCUUACACAUCUGCAUCCCUUUGUACCCUAAAACUCCAAUAAUUCAGUCAUUGUCAGUACCUGAUUGGUAGACUUCUUGAAACAUUGGUUCUUCUUUUUAUUAACACACCAAAACAUUUAUAAUAUACUUUCUUUUAAAGAUAUUACAUAGCGUUAUCAUAAAUAUGUCCAGUUCUGGUCACUUCAUUAUAGAAAGGACAUGGAGGUUUUGGAAAGGAUCAACAGAAGUUUUCAAAAGGCUUUGCAGCCUUCUACCAGGAAGUGAGCUGUGAGAGGUUGGACAAACUUAGGUUGUUUUCUCUGGAGGCAAAAGGGGGACCUGAUCAAUGCUUAUAAAAUUAUGGAGGCUUAGAUAGAUAGCUGCAGGAGUCCAUGAGGUCACAAAGAGUCAGACACGACUAAACAGCAAUGAUAGAGUCCCGUUAUCUUUUGCUAAAGGUUGAACUGUCCAAUACCAGAGAACAUGAGAUAGGAAAGUUAAAAGGAGACUUGUGAGGCAAAGUAUGUUUACAUGGAGGGUAGUGGAUGCAGAUACGGUGGUGAUGUUUCAGAAGUUGUUAGACAAGCACAUUAAAAGCAGGGAACAAGAAUAUUCAGAUUCAAAUUGAUUUAUUACAUGUGCAUCAAAACAAAGUGCUUGCAUUAACAACCAACACCUGCAAGGAUGUGCUGGGGAGAACCCACAAGUGUCACACAUAUUCCAGUACCAACAUAGCAAUCCACAGUGAUCCACAGAACACAACAAUACAGAACAUACCUGUACAGGCAGAAGAGACUUAGUUUAAUUUGUCAUCGUGUUUGGUACAGGCAUUGUGUUCCUGUGCUGUACUGUUCUAUGUUCAGUGUUCUAUAUCCACCGAAUGUGAUGAGUUGAAAGGGAAUAUGGGAACCAGAGCUGCAGGAAGUUUAAAGAGAUCAUCGUAAACAUCACUUAGAUAACCCAUUGCCUAACUAUCAACCUUUCUGAAUAGUCAAGGGAGGAUUAUUAUCAUUUCAUUAUGCUUUCUGCUCAAUAUGGAAUUAAUUCAAUGAUUCUUUUGGUUUUUUGUUGUGUUUCCGACAGGAUUAGGAUUGGAAUUGUUACUUUUAUUGAGUUUUUCCUUGUAGUAUUAUCUUUCUUUAUGUUUCCUUAUAUGUUUGUGUGAUCACUUGAUUGCCUGUAAACUUAGUAACCUGAUGUAUGGUGAAGUGCAGGCCUUCUACUUACCAAGGGAGAUCACUGCCAUUGAGAUUAUUGCUAUUUACACCACCCCCCAGUGCUGCAGCCACUCUCCCUGAUGGUGGCUUCAUUGUUGCUGGUGACUUCAAGUCAUACCAACUUGAACAGACUUGCCAAAGUUCUACCACACGUCAACUUCACAACCAGGAGAGAGAAUAUAUUAGACCUGGUCUGUACCAACGUUCAUGCAAGGCUGCCCCCCCCACCCCAACCCACCAUGGUCUUAUGGUGUUCUGAAGCACAAUGUCGGAAAGACAGCAGGUGGUUUAGGCAUAGUUUACUCACAAGUAGCAACGCAAGAAUAAUCGGGUUGUUCUCAUGAUGUGGAGAGUGAAGUAUUAGACGAGCCACUGAACUGUUCAGAGCAAUUACUCUGGGAGGUUUAUAUCUCCUUUAUCUCCUGUGAACACUCAACGCCACCUCUUGACAACAGGCCCUUGAGCAUUAGGAGAUUUGCCCAAUAUCAGGAGAUUUACCUCAUAUUUGGAAUUUUGAAAGCAAUAAUGGGCCCCACAUGUAUGGAGGGACCUGCUGGCCCAAGAAUGGUCCCAGGAAUGAAGGCUUGAGUUUGAUGUCUCUGGGCCUGUACUCAGUGGAGUUCAGAAGGAUGAGGGGAGAUCUCAUUGAAGCCUACCAGAUAUCGAAAGGCUUGGAUGAAGAGUUGUUUCCAUUAGUAGGUCAGUCUAGGCUGCAACGGCAUAGCCUUGGAGUAAAGGGACAUCCCCUUAAAACUGAGAUGAGAAGGAAUUCAUCACCAGAUGGUGGAGAAUCUGUGGACUCUAUUGCCACGGAAGACUAUGGAGACCAUGUUAUUGGGUAUAUUUAAAGCAGAGAUUGAUGGGCUCUUUAUUGGUAAGGCAGUUAAGGGUUAUGAGGAGAAGGCAAGAGAAAAGAAGUCAGCCAUGAUUGAAUGACAGAGAAGAAUCAAUGGCCUGCUUGGCUUAAUUCUGAUCUUACAUCUUACCUUGUGGUUUUGUGGAGGAAAGAGAUCAAAGACUCUUGACCAAGAGGACAGGCUUAAGGAACUGGGUCUUUCAUCAAGAAAUGGUAGAUGGCUGAUAACACAGGUUGUUUUUAUAUUCCUGAUAUUUGAGCUUUUGAAAUCAUUUACUUCAGUUGGUUUUCUUCAUUGCUGUCUAACAUUAUAGAAAUGUCUCUGAACCACAACCUCUCCUUUGACUGAAUACCACAUCAAUAAUGCAGUUUCUCCUGUCACUGGACAUCACUUUCAAUUAUGGUCUCUUCAAGUCCAUUCAAACUGAUCAGUCAAUGCUGGAAAUCCCUGGCUCCCUUUGGAUUGGAAUAGAACCAUAGAACACUACAGCACAGAAAACAGGCCCUUCGGCCUUUCUAGUCUGUGACAAAACUUUAUUCUGCUAGUCCCUUUGACCUUAACCCAGUCCAUAACCCUCCAGACCUCUCCCAUCCAUGUAUCUAUCCAAUUUAUUCUUAAACUUAAGAGUGAGCCUGCAUUUACCACAUCAGAUGGCAGUUUGUUCCACACUCCCACCACCCUCUGAGUAAAGAAGUUCCCCCUAAACCUUUCCCCUUUCACCCUAAAGCCAUGUCCUCUCGUAUUUAUCUCUCCUAAUCUAAGAGCCUACUCGUAUUUACUCUGUCUAUACCCCUCAUAAUUUUGUAAACCUCUAUCAAAUCCCCCCCUCAUUCUUCUACACUCCAAGGAAUAAAGUCCUAACCUGUUUAAUCUUUCCCUGUAACUCAACUCCUGAAGACCCGACAACAUCCUAGUAAAUCUUCCCUGCACUCUUUCAACCUUAGUGAUAUCCUUCCUAUAGAUAGGUGACCAGAACUGAACACAAUAAUGUUGCAAAUGUAGUCUCAGAAUCCAAAAAAAGACAGAAAACCAGGAACUAAAAGCCAGGUAUCCUGUGAACGUAGCAGGAAUUCGUGGUCUGAUAGCUGGAGGAGCUCAGCAGGCCAAGCAGCAUCUGGAACUGUCGACAUUUUGGGUUGAAACUCUGUGUUGGGAGAGUGGAGAGGGGAAAUAACCGGUCUAAAUUGGAGAAGGGGAGCAUGGCAGCAUAGCAGAGGUUCAAUUCCUGCUGCUGUCUGGAAGGAGUUUGUACAUUCCUCCCUUUGACCAUGUGGUUUCCUCCUGGUGCUCCGGUUGCCUCCCACAGUCCAAAGAGGAACGGGUUAUGGCUGUAAGUUGUGUGCAUGCUGUGUCAGUGCAGAAGUAUGGCCGCACUCGUGGGCUGUGCCCAGCACGUCCUCAUGGGUGUCAUCUGCAAGGACCAUUGUGCUGGUCAAUAAUGGGAAUGACGUAUCUCAAUGUUCAGUACAAAGCUAAUCUUUGAGGAUGUGACUAAACACAUUGAUGAAGGUAGAGUAGAAGAUGUAGUGUAUAUGGGUUUCAGCAAGGCUUAUUGAGAAAGUAAGGAGGCAUGGGAUCCAAAGGGACAUUGCUUUGUGGAUCCAGAACUGGCUCACCCACAGAGAGCAAAGAGUGGUUGUAGACGGGUCAUAUUCUACAUGGAGGCUGGUGGCCAGUGGAGUGCCUCAGGGAUCUGUUCUGGGACCCCUUCUCUUUCAGAUAUUUAUAAAUGACCUGGAUGAGGAAGUGGAGGGAUGGGUUAGUAAAUUUCCUGAUGACACAAAGGUUGGAGGUGUUGUAGAUAUUGUGGACGGCUGUCAGAGGUUACAGCGGGACAUUGAGACUGGGCUGAGAAGUGGCAAAUGGUUCAACCCGGAUAAUUGUGAGGUGGUUCAUUUACGAUGAGUCAAAUAAGUCAAAUACGAUGGCAGAAUAUUGUAUUAAUGGUAAGACUCUCGGCAGUGUGGACGAUCAGAGGGAUCUUGGGGUCCGAGUCCAUAGGACGCUCAAAGCUGCUGCGCAGGUUGACUCUGUGAUUAAGCUGCAUUGGCCUUCAUCAACCGUGGGAUUGAGUUUAAGAGCCAAGAGGUAAUGUUACAGCUAUAUAGGACCCUGGUCAGACCCCACUUGUAGUACUGUGUUCAGAUCUGAUCACCUCACUACAGGAAGGAUGUGGAAACUAUAGAAAGAGUGCAGAGGAGAUUUACAAGGAUGUUGUCUGGAUUGGGGAGUAUGCCUUAUGAAAACAGGUUGAGUGAACUUGGCCUUUUCUCCUUGGAGCGACGGAGGAUGAGAGGUGACCUGAUAGAGGUGUACAAGAUGAUGAGAGGCAUUGAUCGUGUGGAUAGUCAGAGGUUUUUUCCCAGGGCUGAAAUAGUUAACAUGAGGGUGUAUAGUUUUAAGGUGCUUGGAUGUAGGUACAAAGGAGAUGUUAAGGGUAAGUUUUUUAUGCAGAGAGUAGUGAUUGUGUGGAAUGGGCUGCCGGUGAUGGUGGUGGAGGCGGAUACAAUAGGGUCUUUUAAGAGACUCCUGGAUAGGUACAUGGAGCUUAGAAAAAUAGAGGGCUAUGGGUAAGUCUAGGUAAUUUCUAAAGUAAGCCUAUAUUGUGUUGUAGGUUUCCUGUAUUUCUUUGAGUGAUGAAAGAGGCAAGGGAUGAGUGGUGGACUGAGGCAGGAGGGAGUGUUGAGUGAUUAAACAAAGGUGAGGGAUGAGUGGUGGACUGAGGCAGGAGGGAGUGUUGAGUGAUUAAACAAAGGUGAGGGAUGUGUGGCGGACUGAGGCAGGAGGGAGUGUGAAUAAACAGAGCUGAGGGAUGAUUGCUGGAUGGAGAUAGGAGGGAGUGAUUAAACAGAGGUGAGGGAUGAGUGGUGGACAGGGAGGAGGGGGUGUUGAGUGAUUAAACAGAGGUGAGGGAUGAGUGGUGGACUGAGGCACAAGGGGGUUUUGAGUGAUUAAGCAGAGGUAAGGGAGGGGGGUGUUGAGUGAUUAAAUGGAGGUGUGGGAUGAGUGGUGGACUGAGGCAGGAGGGGGUGUUGAGUGUUGAUAGUUAUUCUCAUUGCCUUUAAUUUGAGACAAUGUGUUUGUCCCUCCUCGCCUGGCCUGAGGUGACAGUGAUCGGAGCUACUUUACCCUCUCCCACCCCAUGUUUGUGUCAGCUCUUCUCAUUGCCACCAUCAGUGGGGAGGUUCAGGAGCCCGAAGACACACAUCAAAUGUAUUAGAAUUAGUUUCUUCCCCUCCAUCAUCCGAUUUCCGAAUGGACAAUGAAACCAUGGAAACCACUCCACUUUCCACUAUAUACUUGAUUUAUUAAUAUAUAUAUUUCUUAAUGUAAUGUAUAGUUUCAUUGUGAUUUUGUGUUGCAUUGUACUGCUGCUGCAAAACAACAAAUUUCACAACAUAUGCCAGUGAUAUUUAAUCUGAUUUUGAUUCAGAUUCUGUCUGAAGCGAACUUUAAUGUUGUAAUAUUUCCAACAUAAUUUCUGAGAUACAUUCCAGUUGGUCAGUCUUAAUAAACUUUUUGCUUCAACGAAUCUUCAAAUGGAAAAACACUUCUGAGUCAAUUACA